GUAUUCAAAAACAUAUCACGUUGAAAACACCGGUUCUCGUACGAUCACCGAUGUUAAGUAACAUCGAGCCUAGUUAGUACUUAAAUGACUAACCGCUUUGGAAAACUGGGUGCUAUAUACA
rnacentral:rRNA from 1 species